CGAUGACUGCCGCUGACCUCGCUCGGGGCGCGGGCGGGAGAAGAGGAUCGCGGCCCAGCUGCAGCAGGAAAGGGGCUGUCUGGUGGACACCGGGGGCCCAAACCCUCGCCCGCCGCCGUCAACAUCCCUUGGUUGUGCUUCGCGCUCCUUAAAAAUCACUGUCGAGCGUUUGCGCCUUCUAGAAAGAAGGUUGUAUGAAGAUACAAUAAGGUUCUUGCCCUCAGAAGGCUCCAGGAUGCUAAGUGCAGGAGAGAAAUAUAAUACUACUCUGGAAGCACAGAAGAGAAUAGCUUGGGAAUGAACACAGCCAUUUUUCAAACAAAAACUGGAAGAAAAGGGCAUAAUGACCACUGUAUCAAAGUUGGCACUGUGCACCAUACACUGAUGCAUGUGGACAGAACCGGAUGGAGAGAGCAAAACUUGAGGUGAUGAUUUGUUCCACGGAACAGAGAACCUGGUCCCUACCCAGUGACUGAACACAGGCUUCGCAGUGUGCCUCCUCCCAGCCCAGCUGCAGGCCUGCUGCACUCAGCAGCCUGUGCCCAUGCUGCUGUCUUCGAGUUCACAUGCUUGCCUGUCAGAAUCACACUAACCCUACAGCCAAAGAUUUCUUAUAUUCAAUGCAAAGAGUGUGUCAUGCCAUAGAAGAAGAUAAUAAACUACUGUCCUACAUUGAAAUUAAGAAUUUCUGUUUCCGGGGAUUGAACUCAGGUCCUUGCGCUUGCGCAGCAGGCAGCGAAAC